UGCAGUCGAGCGGUAACGGGUCCAGCUUGCUGGAUGCCGACGAGCGGCGGACGGGUGAGUAAUGCAUAGGAAUCUGCCCAGUCGUGGGGGAUAACCUGGGGAAACCCAGGCUAAUACCGCAUACGUCCUACGGGAGAAAGCGGGGGCUUCGUGUUCUUCGGAAUGGGGACCUCGCGCGAUUGGAUGAGCCUAUGUCGGAUUAGCUGGUUGGUGAGGUAACGGCUCACCAAGGCGACGAUCCGUAGCUGGUCUGAGAGGAUGAUCAGCCACACCGGGACUGAGACACGGCCCGGACUCCUACGGGAGGCAGCAGUGGGGAAUAUUGGACAAUGGGCGCAAGCCUGAUCCAGCCAUGCCGCGUGUGUGAAGAAGGCUUUCGGGUUGUAAAGCACUUUCAGUGGGGAAGAAGGCCUGGCGGUCAAUACCCGCCAGGGACGACAUCACCCACAGAAGAAGCACCGGCUAACUCCGUGCCAGCAGCCGCGGUAAUACGGAGGGUGCGAGCGUUAAUCGGAAAUUACUGGGCGUAAAGCGCGCGUAGGCGACCAAGUAAGCCGGUUGUGAAAGCCCCGGGCUCAACCUGGGAAUGGCAUCCGGAACUGGUUGGCUAGAGUGCAGGAGAGGAAGGUAGAAUUCCCGGUGUAGCGGUGAAAUGCGUAGAGAUCGGGAGGAAUACCAGUGGCGAAGGCGGCCUUCUGGACUGACACUGACGCUGAGGUGCGAAAGCAUGGGUAGCAAACAGGAUUAGAUACCCUGGUAGUCCAUGCCGUAAACGAUGUCGACUAGCCGUUGGGUCCCUUGAGGACUUGGUGGCGCAGUUAACGCGAUAAGUCGACCGCCUGGGGAGUACGGCCGCAAGGUUAAAACUCAAAUGAAUUUGACGGGGGCCCGCACAAGCGGUGGAGCAUGUGGUUUAAUUCGAUGCAACGCGAAGAACCUUACCUACCCUUGACAUCCUGCGAACCCACCGGAGACGGCGGGGUGCCUUCGGGAGCGCAGAGACAGGUGCUGCAUGGCUGUCGUCAGCUCGUGUUGUGAAAUGUUGGGUUAAGUCCCGUAACGAGCGCAACCCUUGUCCUUAUUUGCCAGCGAGUAACGUCGGGAACUCUAAGGAGACUGCCGGUGACAAACCGGAGGAAGGUGGGGACGACGUCAAGUCAUCAUGGCCCUUACGGGUAGGGCUACACACGUGCUACAAUGGCCGGUACAAAGGGUUGCCAUCCCGCGAGGGGGCGCCAAUCUCAUAAAGCCGGUCUCAGUCCGGAUCGGAGUCUGCAACUCGACUCCGUGAAGUCGGAAUCGCUAGUAAUCGUGAAUCAGAAUGUCACGGUGAAUACGUUCCCGGGCCUUGUACACACCGCCCGUCACACCAUGGGAGUGGACUGCACCAGAAGUGGUUAGCUUAACCUUC
rnacentral:rRNA from 1 species